rnacentral:rRNA from 1 species
GAUUGGMUCACUCGGCUCAUGCAUCGAUGAAGAACGCAGCGAAAUGCGAUAAGUAAUGUGAAUUGCAGAAUUCAGUGAAUCAUCGAAUCUUUGAACGCACCUUGCACUCCUUGGUAUUCCGAGGAGCAUGCCUGUUUGAGUGUC